UUCAUUUCCGUUCCGUAGCUUUUUUCUGAGUUCUCUUUCUGAGCAUGUCGAGUCAAGUACUUCGCGAGCAUGCUUCUGAGACGAAGGGACGCCAUCACGCCAAUAAAGGUUUGAAGAAUUUGUUGCUACUUUACUUCUGGCAUGUCUCAUCCAAUGCAUAAUCACUUCAUAGCAAAGGCUAUGUUUGCUAAGAAGUGAAACUCAGCCCCUUCUUGCCUUCUGUUUCCUUAAAUGUCAAAUCAGUGGCUCCACUCAUGACAGAAAUUAAAUGCCUUUGAAUCUGGUCAAGUGAGUAUGAUUGAGUAGCGUAACUGAGUUCAUUUCAUAGUUGUUUUCUGUGUUCUCCUCUUUGUGAGUUGUGCAACCCUAUAGUGCAGGAAUAAUAUUGAAUCAUUCUGGAGAAAAUGCCUGCUUGCUGUCAAUAAUGCCUUGGCAAUUAAUGCAUGUAUUUGGCUCAUUUGAUCCUAACUCUGGAAACUAGAUGAAGUUAAUCCAUCAGAUUGGUUCCGCUGAACUCAGAUCCUCUGAUAAAUUUGGUGGGAAAAUUCAGCAGUUUGCAAUUUGCAUGCCACAUCUUCUUAGAACUUUCGUCCAGUGAAUUCAUCCAUCCAGUACAACAAGUUGCAUCAAUUCCACAGCUAAUAAAAGAUUUGGGCAGGAAAAUUAGAAGUGGAUAAACUCUUCUCUUUAAUUCGUAUUUAACAGCGGGCAACUUUGAUAAAUGAGUGAACUAUUACUUCAUACCAUCGACAACGAAAUCGUCCCCUGUUGGAAUGUAGGAUGUAAGGGAACAAAUUCGUAUUUUCAAGUUUGCGAUAAUGGUAAUCCUGACCCAGUGUCUCGACUGCGAACAACUCCAACUGGGAAAAAGCUGUCUUUCCUCUUCAGCUGAUUGACCGCAUUUAGUCAUCUUCAAUUUGAUUCCCUUGACAGUAAUUGUGAAGCAUGAGCGACAGCCGGGAACAGCAGCAGUGUCCUUCCAUGGCAAUGAUCUCCAGUUCAUCAGCUGCUGCAUAAUUAUCUUCGGAUCACGAGCUUAUUAUUCGCCCUUUCUGUUUGUUUGAUAAUUAUUUGUUUGGCCAGUUGCGUCGAUUCCAACAAUUGCUGCCCAUGUCACCGCACUACUUCCGCCACUAGACGCCAAGUGGGAAAAGGACUUCAAACGUUUUAUUCAUCGUUGAUAUUUCGCAGGCGUUAGUACUCCGGGAAAGAGCCGACAGCUAAAGUCUGCCCCCAAUUCUCCUAAUCCAGAUAACGAAGUCCUUUUUUCCCAUAGGAAAUUGCGCCGGAUCACCGCCGACCUGCUUGUGACUUACCUCUAAUCGAUAUUUUCGAUGUGAAAACGGAGCGACACAGGAAGAAGAAAUGAAGAGAAGGCAUUGACAUCCUGUAUCUACCUUGUCUGUGGUUUUGGUAUUGAGUUCGACCCGGUGGUGCAGCACUUCUACUGGAUAGACUGGAGAUAACUAACAAUUCGUCAUGCGCUAGAUAACAGGACUCAGGCUUCAGUCGUUAUGGCCAAUCCAACACUAGUUCUCUUUUGGAGUUGCUCUAGAAUAAAUGCCAUCAACGCUACCAGAAUCGAUAGUCAUAUUUCUGUUGGUAUUCUGGUUGGAGGUCCGUCUUCACCACCGUCGUCCCAAAUCGAAUGGUGCCGUAUACGACGGCAAAAUCGCGACAAGAUAAGAGAAAUAGAUAUCGACUAACCUUCAGCGCCGACUAUCGACACAGAAGAGAAGAUGAUAUUUUGAGCUGACACCAAACAACCGCAGGAAGUUGACCUCUUCUAAAUUAGUUAAGUCUACAGCAUCAACAGUUCACGGACAGCACAAUUAUUUGUUGGAGAAAGAAGGUGGUGGAGAAAACGGCGUUCCAUUCCCAGGAGGUACGCAGAUAUUGGAAACGAGUGAUCGAAUACCAUUUCCUUUUUAACUUGUGUUGAAGAGUGGCCAGCUGUAAAUCACAAAUAGAUUAUCCGAGUCCGAGCAUAUGGAAUAAGAAUUAUUCAGAUCACAAAGAUGAACUAUCAGCCCAAAUCAGAAAAUGCAACUGACGACCGGUAAAGUUUUGUUCGCGCUGGAAGAAUAACGGAAACAUCUCCAACUCUUCUACCGAUUUCCGAUGGAGUUCUGCUAUGUUACCCAUGUUAGUUCUAAGAAGGAAAAAUUUUAGGGUUGUGCAGCCUACUGUCCACUUUCAGAUUUUCAGAUCAUUCUAUUCUACUGAAUGUGAAUCAAAAUAAUAUAGGAUUUAUCUCUCAUUCCAUCUUCUGGAGAACUUAGGUUUAUUCAUGUCAUGUCACUGAACCAAAUCGUCGAAUAUCGCCAAUCUGCAGAAGUGAGCAUGUGACAAACUCAAUUUUUGAAGUUUUUUUUUUUUUUUCUUCGAAAGGUUGGGUUAGAAUAUUUUUCUCAAAGUUGGGGCAUUUUUUGGGGUUGGAAUUUCCUUAUGGCGACGUUUUGAAGUAAUAGCCAAUAUGUAAGUAACGAAGGCGGUAAAUUUGUUUUCUACGUUUUAUCCAUAUUACGAUUACAAGUUGUUGAAGGUUGUUUUCUUGUUAAAAGGUAGGGAUAGAAUUUUUUGUUUAAAAGGUUAGGGCAUGGGUUGGGGUUAGAAUUUUUGUCAAAAGGUAGGGUAAAAAUUCGUCCACCAGAGGGGUUUGGUGUUGUAGUCAGUACAUACAUGGUACAUAAGUCAAGGCAUUCAGAUGCUAACUGUAGAACUGGGACGCUGCACGGUUUGCGUUUUAGCAUGUCAGGGAACUUUAUAGUUUUGCAUCGUGAAGAUUAAAGGCAUUUCUUUUUGGUUGUCAUCUGUGAAUACUGUUGUGUAUGUGAAUUAAAUGUAUUAUCUAGUCGUGUGAAUCUGAAGGUAUCUUUUCUAAUAACUUCUGCAAUCUUGUCUUGUGUGACUCAAAUAAUUUGCUUCAUUUUCAUCUAAAUUUCAAUUUUGUGACAUGAUUGUUUUCUUUCUUGUCUUAUUUUGUUUUUACAUCUGGUUAAUGAUUAUGUAUCCUAACAGGACUUGCUGACGGUGUUAAUAAAAUUGUCAAUCUGCUGCAUGCAUUUCAUGAUGCCGGUGUUAUCCAGAAAUGUUGCAGGGAGGCUUGGAGCAUAGAUGCAAGAAAACCUCUAGAAAUGAGUUGGUGGAAAUCUAAAGUGGUUUUGCUGUUGUUGUAUAUUAAUUAUUAGUACAAGUUUUAAACCAA